GGAGAGAUGGCUCAGUGGUUAAGAGCACUGGCUGCUCUUCCAGAGGACCUGGGUUCAGUUCCCAGCACCA
rnacentral:tRNA from 1 species